rnacentral:rRNA from 1 species
ACGCUGAGCACCAGCUUGCUGGUGUGGAUGAGUGGCGAACGGGUGAGUAAUACGUGAGUAACCUGCCCUUGACUCUGGGAUAAGCCCGGGAAACUGGGUCUAAUACUGGAUGCUACAUGUCACCGCAUGGUGGUGUGUGGAAAGGGUUUACUGGUCUUGGAUGGGCUCACGGCCUAUCAGCUUGUUGGUGAGGUAAUGGCUCACCAAGGCGACGACGGGUAGCCGGCCUGAGAGGGUGACCGGCCACACUGGGACUGAGACACGGCCCAGACUCCUACGGGAGGCAGCAGUGGGGAAUAUUGCACAAUGGGCGAAAGCCUGAUGCAGCGACGCCGCGUGAGGGAUGACGGCCUUCGGGUUGUAAACCUCUUUCAGCAGGGAAGAAGCCACAAGUGACGGUACCUGCAGAAGAAGCGCCGGCUAACUACGUGCCAGCAGCCGCGGUAAUACGUAGGGCGCAAGCGUUGUCCGGAAUUAUUGGGCGUAAAGAGCUCGUAGGCGGUUUGUCGCGUCUGCUGUGAAAGCCCGGGGCUUAACCCCGGGUGUGCAGUGGGUACGGGCAGACUAGAGUGCAGUAGGGGAGACUGGAAUUCCUGGUGUAGCGGUGGAAUGCGCAGAUAUCAGGAGGAACACCGAUGGCGAAGGCAGGUCUCUGGGCUGUUACUGACGCUGAGGAGCGAAAGCAUGGGGAGCGAACAGGAUUAGAUACCCUG